rnacentral:lncRNA from 1 species
GUUACCCGAGCCCAGCGCCGGGCCAAUGUCCUAUCUCAGGGUUUCCCACGUCGCUCGCUCCUUGACGGCUGACCGACACUGGGUCUGAGGUGUAAGCGCUUUCCAGGCCCUUCCCUGGGGCUUGGAGGGGAAUGGCGCAAAGGACUUUUCUUACAAGCAGAGCCACUGCAGUUACCAAAGAGUAUGUCGCUUAUUGUCUAAGAGGUUGGACUCCUGAAAGCCUGGACAGUGUCAUCAUCUUCACCUGAAGAGUGGAAAAAUUCAAGCAAAGAGUUUCUCAGGAAAUGACCAAGUAAAACAUCUGGAGUAAGUCAGCAGGAUUCACAGUGACUCCCCCCAACCAGCUGGUGGUGUUUCUCUCUGAAAGCAGCGCUUGGUACCAGUGUGAACUCUCUUCCUUCAGAAGUCUCAUCAGGUGGACGUAAUACGAGGGUCUGGUCCCCCAUACCUUGAGGACUCCGCUGCCAUCUGACAAUUACAGACAAUCCAAUUGUCCUCAUCCUUGAGGACUCUGCUGCCAUCUGACAAUUAGAGACAGUCCAAAACAUGCCACACUUUGAUCCUAAACACAUUCCUGGCUUUGGUCACUUUUGAAAAGUUCCUGAGUUAUGAGAAAUCAAUAAUAAGAGUGUUCAAAACCUGAACACUCUUUUUAGAAAUACCUGCUGGAACUACAUAUAUGAUUUAUGGGGUACUGUCUUGUAGUAUCUGGGAAAGUAGACCCAUCUAACCUGGAAUGAUCAUAGGCAACAAUGACCAAAAAUGGGGAUCUUUUGAUAUACCUAAAGUAAUUUAUUUGUGCACACCAUUGGAAAGAGCUGGUUUUAGAACCAGACAUGUAAAUAAGAGACUGACUUCCACUGGCACCUAAAAACUUCUAAAAGAAAUCCUGAAAGAAAAAGUCACCUUCAUUCAAGAGGAAAUUCAUAGAAUAGGACCCUGACAAGUACUCUUGAAUACAGGUUUCUGAUAACUUUGGAGAUCAUAUCAUUGGACUAAGUAACAACUUUCAGGAUAUAAUUGGAGACACUUGUUAUUUUACUAAGGAUUUGACUGGAAUGACAUAUUUUCAGAUAUGACCAGACUGCUUUGAAGAAUGGAGGUUGACUCUAUAGAGGCAAUUAGAAAGCCUCUUGGAAAGACUGGCCUGGUCCCUUGUCUACGUAGUUCCCUUUCAAGAUUUCUGUCCUGUGUUAAGUAAAGAAUGUCACUUUCUGACAGGCCUGGGAACCUCAAAAUAUUUCCGCUGUGUAUCUCUCAUUGUUUUAUUUCUUCUGAGAAAACUAAAUUCAUGGUACACUGAAGAGGUGAUUCCACAAGUGAUGGCAGCUAUAAAUCAAUGACUGGUAGGACUACCUGGGCAUGAGCCUUUCUGGCAAUGAGGGAUACCUUGACACUCAGAUUUUGAUCAUCAGUGCUUUCAAAAGGAAAGAUUUUUGAUCAAAAGGAAGAAAUGAGAAAAAGAACUUUUAUCUGAAGAAUGCAAGUCCUUUCCAAUUAUCAGAUCCAGAGAGGUAUUAAAAUGAGACGGCAAUCCUGUCCUACACACACCCCCUUUUGAGGCAUGUACUCAUCUUUUUAUACUGCUUACUAUUGCCACAAGUAGCUGAAAAUUAGCCUACUGGUGCUGCACCAGACAUUAUAACCCAUAUCCUAUAGCUUAAUAAUGGAUAGCCAAUCAACAGCUUAUGUUAUGUUAAUGUAAAUUAUUGGUAAAUAACUCAGGAACUGCCUCUUCUUUCCUUUUAAAAACCCACUUGUGGGCCGGGCGUGGUGGCUCACGCCUGUAAUCCCAGCAUUUUGGGAGGCCAAGGUGGGCGGAUCACAAGGUGAGGAGAUCAAGACCAUCCUGGAUAACACAGUGAAACCCUGUCUCUACUAAAAAUACAAAAAAUUAGCCGGGCGUGGUGGCGGGCACCUGUAGUCCCAGCUACUCGGGAGGCUGAGGCAGGAGAAAGGCGUGAACCCAGGAAGCAGAGCUUGCAGUGAGCUGACAUGGCACCACUGCACUCCAGCCCGGGCAACAGUGCGAGGCCCUGUCUC